UACGUAGGGGGCAAGCGUUGUCCGGAUUUAUUGGGCGUAAAGAGCGUGUAGGCGGCCACACAGGUCAGCUGUGAAAACUCGAGGCUCAACCUCGAGACGUCGGUUGAAACCGUAUGGCUAGAGUCCGGAAGAGGAGAGUGGAAUUCCCGGUGUAGCGGUGAAAUGCGCAGAUAUCAGGAGGAACACCGGUGGCGAAGGCGGGUCUCUGGGCCGAUACUGACGCUGAGGAGCGAAAGCGUGGGGGAGCGAACAGG
rnacentral:rRNA from 1 species